rnacentral:rRNA from 1 species
GAUGAACGCUAGCCGCAGGCUUAAUACAUGCAAGUCGAGGGGCAGCACGAAUAGCAAUAUUUGGUGGCGACCGGCGCACGGGUGCGUAACACGUAUACAACCUACCUAUAACAGGGGGAUAGCCUUUCGAAAGAGAGAUUAAUACCCCGUAAUAAAUUGAGUGGCAUCACUUGAUUUUGAAAGCUACGGCGGUUAUAGAUGGGUAUGCGCCUGAUUAGCUAGUUGGUGAGGUAACGGCUCACCAAGGCGACGAUCAGUAGGGGAUCUGAGAGGACUAACCCCCACACUGGUACUGAGACACAGACCAGACUCCUACGGGAGGCAGCAGUAAGGAAUAUUGGUCAAUGGAGGCAACUCUGAACCAGCCAUGCCGCGUGCAGGAUGACGGCCCUAUGGGUUGUAAACUGCUUUUGUACCAGAGAAAACCUACUCACGUGUGAGUAGCUGAUAGUAUGGUAAGAAUAAGCAUCGGCUAACUUCGUGCCAG